rnacentral:lncRNA from 1 species
AAUGGAGCGGCGAGGGGCCGCGCGGACGGGGGAGGCCCCAGGGGCGGGGACGAGGCGGGGGCUGCCCCGAGGGCAGACGAGGCCAGCGGGGAAAAGGGUGAGGGCUGCCGGGCGCCGCGUCGCGGGCUGGGUCCGUCCCGGACGUGACCGGAGGCGUGGGGGACGCGGCCGAAGGUCCCCAAGGGUCCGACGAAAAGAGGCCAGAGUUGGUCUGUUCUUGGGAAGAGAUUCGUCUGAGGUCGGCCUCCGUCAGCCGCAGGUGUCCAGCCCUGCGUAUUCGUGCUGUGCAGUCAGGUAAACCACUCUCUCCCUGCAGGAAAGCGCACCGGGGGCGAACCGGUCACCGUUCAGGGACGCGGGCGGGGGAGGCUGGAGACCUGGCCUCCCGGGAGGGGCGAGGUUCCCUCGAGAGGAGAGCCGAGCAGCGCGCGCUCCCUGCGGGGCCCAGGUGCGCGCGAGGCGGGGCGCGGGCGAGACUGGAUCCCUCGCUCCCCGAACUGCGGGUGUGGAGUCGCCGCUCCGCCCCGCCCUGGCGCAGGUAUCUCGCUGCCACCCGCCUUGGCUCUGGGCGUCGCGGGGGCAGGGACUGGGGAACUGGGCGCGGAGCGAGGGCGGGAGAGACCUGGAAAAACCACCCAGAUUGCUUUGCAGUGGGCGAGGCCGCCUGGCAGAGCCGGUUCUCCCGAGCCGCCUCCCCGCGGGUGCCUUCGGCGCGGCUCGGGGAGCCCGGCUCGGCCCGGCACGGGGCUCCGUCCGGGUCCCCAGCGGGGCCGGAAGCCCGACGCCAGGCACCGCCGCUGCAGAGAAAGGGAUUAAACAGUUCCGAAACUUGGCCCUUGCAGCGCUGGGUGUUGUGUUGGGAUCCUUCAUUUCUGCAGCGCCUUUGGACUUAGCAAAUCUACGAGUUUACGGGGGAUUCCGCGGCAGCAUUGGCCGUGUUAGAAUCCGGAGCCUCCCAGCUGCGUCUGCCUAGAACCGCUCUCCUGUUUAACAACGCUGGAUCCUUGGUUUCUGAUUUGUGUUUUGUUUUGUUUAAUUCGUCCGACAAGAUAGGGAUUUUUUGGUGUAUCCUCAGGGCUUGGAAUACAGCCUGACAUAUACUGUGCACUCAACAAAUACUUGUUGAAUGGCUGUAAUAACACCCACCCCUUUGUGCGGCUCUUUGUCUUCGAAACCGAGGGCAGAGUUCAUCCCUGCAAAGGUGAGAUCCUCAACACAAGAGUAAGGGUAAUUAAAGGCUCAAAUGUUUGUAAAGAGUAGGUACUGAUUCUCAUUAAACUUUUAUUAAAUUAAACUUGUCAAGGGAAAGAACGUCAAGGGCGGGAAAAAAUUGUAUGAAAUACAAGUGAAUUGGUUCUGGAACCAAAAAAAAAAAAAAAGUCUUCCUGCUUAUCGCCAGCACGGACUUUAGAAGUCCAAAGUGAGAAUAAUCAGGAGGAAGUGACUGGGAGGGACCUGAAGAGUGAGCCCAUUCAAGUCCCGCUCAACAUCACACCUAAACCCCAAACAAAGCUGAUUUUUUUAAAGUAGGCGGGACCCAAUUGAGAAACCGGAUACAAAGUAACUGCCCUGUGGUAUGGAAGCCUUAAGGUCCUGAAAGGCGGAUUGAGACCUGUUCCUGUUUAAAGCAAUUGAAGAGAAACCACCAGGACCAAAAAAAGGUUUUUUGGUUUGUUUUCAUGGGAAUUAGUGGAAUAUUAGGCAAAAUUUGAAUAAGGUCUGCAGAUUAGAUAGUAGUGUUGUAUUUGUUAAUUUCUCCGUUGUUGUAGUCCUGGGGUUAGGCAGGAGAAAGCCAUUGUCUUAAGGAAAAUCUACCAAGUGUUUAGAGGUGAGGAGGGAUCAUGUCUAUAAAUUACUCUCAAAAGGCUCAGACAAAAUUAUAUAUUUAGAGGGCGGGGGAAAUAGCUCAGUGGUAGAGUGCUGCUUGCCUAGCAGGUGCAAGUUCCUGGGUUCAAUACACACACACACACACACACACACGCAAAGAAUAAUAAAGCAACUAGUAAAAUGUUCACACUAGAGAAUCUGGGUAGGGGAGGUCCCCCCCACCUUUUGGGAAUUGAACC